UCAGCUUCCUCAUAGUUUCACUCCGGUUCCUCCAGUUUUCCUCAGGCUUGCUGGAACUCACCUGUCCUCCAUGUGUGAACAGGCCCCGCCUCCAGUCCAGUACAGUGCAGUUCAUUCCGAGUGAGAG